UACAGAGGUCUCAAGCGUUGUUCGGAUUCAUUGGGCGUAAAGGGUGCGUAGGCGGCGCGGUAAGUCGGGUGGUGAAAUCUCGGAGCUUAACUCCGAAACUGCAUUCGAUACUGCCGUGCUUGAGGACUGGAGAGGAGACUGGAAUUUACGGUGUAGCGGUGAAAUGCGUAGAUAUCGUAAGGAAGACCAGUGGCGAAGGCGGGUCUCUGGACAGUUCCUGACGCUGAGGCACGAAGGUCAGGGGAGCAAACGGG
rnacentral:rRNA from 1 species